rnacentral:rRNA from 1 species
UACGGGGGGGCAAGCGUUGUUCGGAAUUACUGGGCGUAAAGGGCUCGUAGGUGGCCAACUAAGUCAGACGUGAAAUCCCUCGGCUUAACCGGGGAACUGCGUCUGAUACUGGAUGGCUUGAGGUUGGGAGAGGGAUGCGGAAUUCCAGGUGUAGCGGUGAAAUGCGUAGAUAUCUGGAGGAACACCGGUGGCGAAGGCGGCAUCCUGGACCAAUUCUGACACUGAGGAGCGAAAGCCAGAGGAGCAAA